rnacentral:rRNA from 1 species
AUUGAACGCUGGCGGCAUGCUUUACACAUGCAAGUCGAACGGUAACAGGGUGCUUGCACCGCUGACGAGUGGCGAACGGGUGAGUAAUGCGUCGGAACGCACCGAGUAAUGGGGGAUAACGCAGCGAAAGCUGUGCUAAUACCGCAUACGCCCUGAGGAGGAAAGCGGGGGACCUUCGGGCCUCGCGUUAUUCGAGCGGCCGACGUCUGAUUAGCUAGUAGGUGAGGUAAGAGCUCACCUAGGCGACGAUCCGUAGCGGGUCUGAGAGGAUGAGCCGCCACCCGGGGACGGAGACACGGCCCAGCCUCCUACGGGAGGCAGCAGUGGGGAAUUUUGGACAAUGGGCGCAAGCCUGACCGAGCCAUGCCGCGUGUCUGAAGAAGGCCUUCGGGUUGUAAAGGACUUUUGUCAGGGAGGAAAUCCUUAGCGUUAAUACCGCUGGGGGAUGACAGUACCUGAAGAAUAAGCACCGGCUAACUACGUGCCAGCAGCCGCGGUAACAC